rnacentral:lncRNA from 1 species
GUAAGACUCAUAAUUUACAGGAAAGCAAUGAGAGCCAAGUCCCAACCCAGAGCAAAUGGUACUACUGCUGGUGCAAUGAAAGAUCCCACCGGUUAAAAUUCUCAUAGUAUUGAUAGCAGAAGGGAUCAACAAGUAUUGCAAUACUAGUAAGCAUUAAGGGUUGAAGGUGUGAUGGAGCCUUCUAACUAGAACUGAAUUUUUACUGUAAUCACUCAAGGGUCUGUUCUCACAGGAGUAUUUGGUACCCAUGUGGAAAUGAGACUUCCCUCCUUCAUGUUGGUGGAAUAUGCAACUCCCAUGCAUCCCAUGCUCUUCACAACACCCCCAUGUUGCCACUGAUUGCACGCAGGCAGCAGCACUUUGCUAAGCAGAGGAGUGCUUCCAGCUCGCUCGCGUGCUCUCUCUCUCUCUAUCUCCAUGGAGACCUCAGAAAUACUUUUGGAUGCUGCAGCAUCAGGUGCCUCCUACCAUCACAGGCUCUCCUAAGCAGAGUUCUUCAAUGAGAAUUUUGGGACUCAGCCAAGAGACACAAGAUCUCAAAACAGACCAUGCCCAGGAGGAAAGAUGAGACAGAAUUUUAUCACACACAGUUUUUGAUGAUGAGCAAAGAUGUUUCCAUGCUCUGCCUGAUUUUAAAAGAAUAAAAUGCAUGUGCUGUGGCCUUCA